rnacentral:rRNA from 1 species
UACGUAGGGGGCAAGCGUUGUCCGGAUUUAUUGGGCGUAAAGAGCGUGUAGGCGGCCAUACAGGUCCGUUGUGAAAACUGGAGGCUUAACCUCCAGACGUCGAUGGAAACCGUAUGGCUAGAGUCCGGAAGAGGAGAGUGGAAUUCCUGGUGUAGCGGUGAAAUGCGCAGAUAUCAGGAAGAACACCCGUGGCGAAGGCGGCUCUCUGGGCCUUACCUGACGCUGAGGAGCGAAAGCGUGGGUAGCGAACAGG